CAACUCCCAAACCCCUGUGAACAUACCUAUACGUUGCCUCGGCGGAUCAGCCCGCGCCCCGUAAAAAGGGACGGCCCGCCCGAGGACCCCUAAACUCUGUUUUUAGUGGAACUUCUGAGUAAAACAAACAAAUAAAUCAAAACUUUCAACAACGGAUCUCUUGGUUCUGGCAUCGAUGAAGAACGCAGCAAAAUGCGAUAAGUAAUGUGAAUUGCAGAAUUCAGUGAAUCAUCGAAUCUUUGAACGCACAUUGCGCCCGCCAGUAUUCUGGCGGGCAUGCCUGUUCGAGCGUCAUUUCAACCCUCAAGCUCAGCUUGGUGUUGGGACUCGCGGUAACCCGCGUUCCCCAAAUCGAUUGGCGGUCACGUCGAGCUUCCAUAGCGUAGUAAUCAUACACCUCGUUACUGGUAAUCGUCGCGGCCACGCCGUAAAACCCCAACUUCUGAAUGUUGACCUCGGAUCAGGUAGGAAUACCCGCUGAACUUAAGCAUAUCAAUAAGCGGAGGA
rnacentral:rRNA from 1 species